AGACACAAGAGGAAUAUAUAAGGCAUAAUCAUAUUGUAAGAUAAGCACUUUUUAAGCUGGAAGACAGGUGCUUGUGUCUGCUUGUACUUGGAACCAAAUCUGGAUCACAUCUCUCAAGAAAAUAAAGGGGUAAGAGGACUAACAUCAUCCAUAAUAUCCUGUAUCUUUCUUGACUGAAGGUCAGAUUUUUGUCCUUGAGUCCUUAUCUUUUCCUAAUCAUGGGAAUCAUGGCAAGCUACCUGUUCUACCUGCUCCCAGCAGUAGGGGGCUAUGCUCUCACAUCAGUUUACUUUCUGAAGAAUCCCCAUAUUCUACACAAGAAGCAGACGGCCUUCCAUUGCACCCAUAUCUCUCAUAGGGGAGGCUGUGGUGAAAGGAUUGAGAACACCAUGGAGGCCUUCACGCAGUGAUUGGGAUGCUGGUCUCACAUCAGUUUUGCUGAGCUUGUGAACCCAAAAUUUAUAUGGACACUUAAGUCACACUUAAAGGAAUUGUUCACCCAAAAAUGAAAAAUAUUCUCAUUAUUUACUCACCCUCAUGG